rnacentral:tRNA from 1 species
GGCCUUGUAGCUUAAUCUGGUGGAGCAUUCGACUGAUAAUCGAAAGGUUGGGAGUUCAAAUCUCCUCGAGGCCACCA